rnacentral:siRNA from 1 species
UCAGAACCCACAUUUGGCGCC